rnacentral:rRNA from 1 species
GAUCAUGGCUCAGGAUGAACGCUAGCUACAGGCUUAACACAUGCAAGUCGAGGGGCAGCAUGGUCUUAGCUUGCUAAGGCCGAUGGCGACCGGCGCACGGGUGAGUAACGCGUAUCCAACCUGCCUUACACUCUUGGACAGCCUUCUGAAAAGGGAGAUUAAAUACAAGAUGUUAUCAUGAGUAAGCAUUUUCGCAUGAUUAAAGGUUUACCGGUGUAAGAUGGGGAUGCG